AUGCCAGACUCCUACGGGAGGCAGCAGUGGGGAAUAUUGGGCAAUGGGCGCAAGCCUGACCCAGCAACGCCGCGUGAAGGAAGAAGGCUUUCGGGUUGUAAACUUCUUUUCUUGGGGACGAAGAAAGUGACGGUACCCAAGGAAUAAGCCACGGCUAACUACGUGCCAGCAGCCGCGGUAAUACGUAGGUGGCAAGCGUUAUCCGGAUUUAUUGGGUGUAAAGGGUGCGCAGGCGGAGGUGCAAGUCAGCGGUCAAAUUGCGGGGCUCAACCCCGUACUGCCGUUGAAACUGCAUCCCUUGAGUGCGCGAGAAGUAUGCGGAAUGCGUGGUGUAGCGGUGAAAUGCAUAGAUAUCACGCAGAACUCCGAUUGCGAAGGCAGCAUACCGGCGCUCAACUGACGCUCAUGCACGAAAGUGUGGGUAUCGAACAGGAUUAGAUACCCCGGUA
rnacentral:rRNA from 1 species